UCUCAUCUUCUCCUGGCUGCUCCGUCUUCAGCUCCACCGGGAGUUUCUUGCAGGAUGAGGAGCCCUUGAGGAGCUGCUCCUGAGCACCAGGCGGAGGGGUCCAGCGUUGGCAGAUGCCAGUUUACAUCAGAAUCUUUGUGAAGAACCAGCAGUUGAGGACAGAGCUGCUCCAGUGGGACCAUUCUCUGAGGUGAGACAGAGCUGAAGAUACCAGAUGCCUUAAACUUCACGAAAAUGGGGAUCAAAGUGGUAAAACAGGCUGAAACUGGGCCCAGAAGACAAACAGUCCAGUGCUACACCAUCUAAGCAUCUUCAGCUCCUCAUGCCAAAAAAAAAAACACCCCAAAAGGCAGGACGUGCAUCGGUACUUACGCUCUUGAUGCCUCUCCCUUGUAAAGUCAGGUGUGUCUGUCUCCAGCCGUGGCCGCCGUUUCGUCCCCAAAGAGCUGGUCCGUGGGCACCGUGUCUCCUUACGAAGACGUGGAGGGCAGCAGAAUGCAGCCCUGGCACCUUGUGCCUGAAGGACAGGCAGAGGUCACCCACCUCAGCCACGUGGCCCAAGGGCAGGAUAAGAUGCGCCGCUCGUCCUUCUUUGCCUUCGGGGUCGGGGAUGGUCAGAUACUGUCCCCCUGCAAAAGAAAAAGCAGAUAGGUUUGUUGGUUUGUUUUGGUUAUUUUUUAAAUUUUACCGUGUUACAAGACCAAAUGCACAGGAGAUGUUACAAAAAAAUCUAAAAAAGGGCUCCAAAGAAGGGAUAGAGCUGCUGGAACAUGAACCAGAACUGGUGCAUCUGCCUCCUGUAGGGUAAGACUCACUGCUUCUCCUCUCUGUACAUUACUACCACCUUAGGUCUUACCCAUCUAAUUAUUUUUUUUUUACAAAGCAAAUGUAAAUGCAAAUUACACGUAUUCCUUCAUUUCUGCCAAAUGGUGACUGCACGACUUUAACCCCCCAGUGAGGGUAAAGCACAAAGUUACCAUGUAAUUGAGCCACAGUUCUGUCUCUUUCCUUUUGAUUUAAACGUCAUUUAAACUCUUAAUAUGGAUUAGAUACAGAAAGCUGGAAACAGUAGUCAUUUCCAAAUGGCUGUUAACUUCAUACACUCCCUGAAGUCUUCCCUAACAGUAGUCAGUUGUCAGUGAACAUAAAUAAUACUUAUAUAAAAACCCUCUUAUUAUCUCUGAUCACGAAUGAAGCAAAUGUGCCUUCAUAAAAACAUCACCUAGAACACAAAAAGUAGAGGAUCUCGGGCAUGGCAACAUGUAUUAAACCUAGAAACAACAACAAAAAAAGGCAUAUACUUCCAUAAAUCCCAUGCAGCCUUUCACACGGGCACUCAAACCUACAAUAAGUGAGGCUUCAUAUUUGGAGAAAACCCACACCUGUAUUUUCUCUUUGUACUUUUCAUUAAAACUUUUGCAACUUUUUUUGGACAAAAAUUUUAAAAUUUGAAAUUCCCAAAGGCAGGAGGGUUGACUUUUAAAAACUAAAAAAAAUUCUCAUCUUACCCUGAACCUAAGAAUCUUUUUUUUUUAAAUGAGAUCAUAUUUUUUAAUUAUAUUUUUUUUAAUCAAAAAAUCCAAAAUCAAUGAACUUAAGGUAAAGGUGGCAUUUAACCUCCAGAGUUGAACCUGAUCACGUAGAAAUAUCAGGGAUUUGUAAUACUGUUGACAAACACAGUAUUUAAUUAUAGAAUAGAAAAUUGGUUUUCAUUUAAAUUGUCGGCACCGCUACUACUCAACCAGAGCUUUAGUUUUUGAAAGCCAGGUUUGAUGUCCCUCAAAAGCUGUGAGAUCUAAUGACAAUGCACCAGGGCUUGUCACACAGUUAAAAGGAAGGAUUCAGUGCUGCUACAGAGGUCUCCAUGAGCCUGAACAAAGCAAAGCAUUAUGCUGCUGCCCGGGGCCCCAGAUCCGCAUUUGGGCAUGAAGUGGGAUCCACUUGUCCAAGGAUCUGUUAAAGUUUUUUCAAGGUUUGAGGCUUUCUUGGUUUUGUUUCAUUUGUUGUUGUUUUCGUAAUGCAUUGUUUUUGCAUCAAGGCCACUAACUGCUAAAAUAAGCAUAAUAAAGUUUUAAAUAACUGCA